UACGUAGGGGGCAAGCGUUGUCCGGAAUCAUUGGGCGUAAAGAGCGUGUAGGCGGCCCGACAAGUCUGGUGUGAAAUCUUUCGGCUCAACCGGAAGCGGUCACUGGAUACUGUCGGGCUUGAGUCCGGAAGAGGAGAGUGGAAUUCCUGGUGUAGCGGUGGAAUGCGCAGAUAUCAGGAGGAACACCUAUGGCGAAGGCAGCUCUCUGGUACGUGACUGACGCUGAGACGCGAAAGCGUGGGGAGCGAACAGG
rnacentral:rRNA from 1 species